rnacentral:lncRNA from 1 species
CGCCGGGGCUAGGGAUGCCUCGAGGCAGUGUGGUUACAGUGGGCUCCAACACACAAAGAGUACAGCCAGCGGGCCAGCAGGCCGUGCACUGCACCUGAUACGAUGAGGGCAAACAAGACUCCCACCCAGACCAGACAACACAAGUCACCUAGACAUCCAAAAGCAAAUCCAAGGGCAGGCUCAGAACCCGCAACCACAGGGGAAUUUGCAAUUAGACUCCCCGAUUGGCGAAAGUCCUCGGAACCCCACCAGAAGGCCCAUAAGCAAAUACUGCUAAGAACUUGAUGAGAUACAUUAAGCAAAUACUGAUAAGAACUAGAUGAGGUCUGAGUGAGCUUGUGCGUAUGAACAGCUACAUUGCAUUGCUCAGACAGCUACAUUGAACUGCUCAGACAGACGAAGCCACAUAGGCCGCAAGCCACUUCAGCAUAGUUACGCCUGCGAUCGGCCAUAGCCCGCAGACGCGGACGCCGCAAAUGCUAUCUGUUUACACCCUACAGGCGUGGUUCACGUACGUAUUCGCGUAUAUAGAAUUUCAUAUAGAAAUUUUGCGUGUUCCUUGCGACUUGCGACUUGCGACUUGCGACUUGCAACUUUAGCAGUACCCGCAAUUUGUUAUGCAAGCAGUCACCUCGCACCCGCAAUUUGUUAUGCAAGCAGCCAUAA